ACGAGGUAGCAAUACUUUGGUGGCGACCGGCGCACGGGUGCGUAACGCGUGAGCAACCUGCCCUCCACAGGGGGAUAACGCACCGAAAGGUGCACUAAUACCGCAUAAGACCACGUUUCUGACAUGGGAAUGAGGUCAAAGGAGCAAUCCGGUGGAAGAUGGGCUCGCGUCUGAUUAGCUAGUUGGUGAGGUAACGGCCCACCAAGGCGACGAUCAGUAGCCGACCUGAGAGGGUGAACGGCCACACUGGAACUGAGACACGGCCCAGACUCC
rnacentral:rRNA from 1 species